UCACCAAAAACCAGUUGCAGUUCCUGAUUGCCUGUCGCUUCACCAAAAAGAAAAUUGCCGAUAUAAUGAAAGUUUCUGCCAAAACAGUCUCAAGAAGGAUGCGAGAGUUCUCAUUGGAAAGUGCAGAGUACAGUAACAUUGAAGAUGGCGAACUUGAUGAAAAGGUUCGUUCAAUUAUUCAAGAAAAUCGGAGGAUUGGUGCAUGUAAUGUUCAAGUGCGGCUGAAGAACAUUGGUGUAAGCGUCACGAGGGAAAGGGUCCGAUGCUCAAUGCGGCGAGUUGAUUCAGUUGGUGUUGCCCUUCGUGCAAGGAGGGUUAUAAAAAGACGCUCGUACUAUGUGGCUGGGCCCAAUUCACUGUGGCAUUUAGAUGGAAACCACAAACUGAUAAGAUGGCGUGUUGUAAUUCAUGGUGCCAUUGAUGGAUUUUCCAGGCUGGUGACAUACCUCAAAGCAUCCACAAACAACAAAUCCAGUAC